AUUGAACGCUGGCGGCAUGCCUUACACAUGCAAGUCGAACGGCAGCACGGGAGCAAUCCUGGUGGCGAGUGGCGAACGGGUGAGUAAUAUAUCGGAACGUGCCCAGUCGUGGGGGAUAACGCAGCGAAAGUUGUGCUAAUACCGCAUACGAUCUAUGGAUGAAAGCGGGGGAUCGCAAGACCUCGCGCGAUUGGAGCGGCCGAUGUCAGAUUAGGUUGUUAGGUGAGGUAAAAGCUCGCCAAGCCUGCGAUCUGUAGCUGGUCUGAGAGGACGACCAGCCACACUGGAACUGAGACACGGUCCAGACUCCUACGGGAGGGCAGCAGUGGGAAUUUUGGACAAUGGACGAAAGUCUAGAUCCAGCAAU
rnacentral:rRNA from 1 species